CACGUAGGGACCAAGCGUUGUCCGGAUUCAUUGGGCGUAAAGAGCUCGUAGGCGGUUCAGUAAGUCGGGUGUGAAAGCCCUCGGCUCAACCGAGGAAGUGCGCCCGAAACUGCAGAGCUUGAGUACCGGAGAGGAUGGCGGAAUUCCCCAAGUAGAGGUGAAAUUCGUAGAUAUGGGGAGGAACACCGGUGGCGAAGGCGGCCAUCUGGACGGUGACUGACGCUGAGGCGCGAAAGCGUGGGGAGCAAACGGG
rnacentral:rRNA from 1 species